GAUUGGUAGAGCCCAGUGGUCUGUUUUGACAGGGCGCUGAUUGGUGCGUUUACAAUCCCUGAGCUGGAUACAAAGGUUCUCCACGUCCCCAUCAGAUUAGAUACAGAGUAUCCACACAAAGGUUCUCCACGUCCCCAUCAGAUUAGAUACAGAGUAUCCACACAAAGGUUCUCCAAGGCCCCACCAGAGCAGAUAGAUACAGAGUGUCCAUUGGUGCACUCACAAACCCUGAGCUAGACACAGGGUGCUGAUUGGUGUGUUUACAAACCUUGAGCUAGAUACAGAGUGCCGAUUGGUGUAUUUACAAUCCCUGAGCUAGACAUAAAGGUUCUUCACGGCCCCACCAGAGCAGCUAGAUACAGAGUGUCAAUUGGUGCACUCACAAACCCUGAGCUAGACACAGGGUGCUGACUGGUGUGUUUACAAACCUUGAGCUAGAUACAGAGUGCCGAUUGGUGUAUUUAUGUCUAGCUCAGGGAUUGUAAAGGUUCUCCAAAGCCCCACCAGAUUCAGGAGCCCAGCUGGCUUCACCCGGUGAAUCCCGCACCGGGGCUGCAGGUGGAGCUGCCUGCCAGUCCCCUGCGUGCGCCCGCACUCCUCAGCCCUUGGGUGGUCGAUGGGACUGGGUGCCGU
rnacentral:lncRNA from 1 species